UACAGAGGUCUCAAGCGUUGUUCGGAUUCAUUGGGCGUAAAGGGUGCGUAGGUGGCGCUGUAAGUCGGGUGUGAAAUUUCGGAGCUUAACUCCGAAACUGCAUUCGAUACUGCGGUGCUUGAGGACUGGAGAGGAGACUGGAAUUCAUGGUGUAGCAGUGAAAUGCGUAGAGAUCAUGAGGAACACCGGUGGCGAAAGCGGCUCACUGGGUCUCUUCUGACGCUGAGGCACGAAAGCUAGGGUAGCGAACGGG
rnacentral:rRNA from 1 species